rnacentral:miRNA from 1 species
CUUUUUUUGCAUUUAGAACCUGAC